ensembl:lncRNA
UUUGUUCUUAAUUGACUUGCCUAGUUAAAUGAAGGUUAAAUACAACUACUAAAUGUUGAUGAUAAGGAGUGGCAGGAGGAAUGAGGUUUCAACACAGGGCACUCAUCAUGAUCACGGAGUCCAAUAUUAUUCUGUAUCUUUAUUGUGAACAAUGCAAUGUCAAACUCGAAGAACUUGCUUCUGUUGUGAAGCAGAGGUAUUACGAAAAUUACUUAUCUAUAUUGAAACAUAGAUACAGUGGGAAAUGCAUAGGCUGCAGACACACUAACGAACACACCCAUAGCACUGUCUCAGUCAGAUGGAGUGAAGAGAGAAGGAUGUCACUUUAAUGGGAUUGAAUGAACAAACAGCAGAAGGUCCAUGUCCCCCGCACCCAUGACACACUACUCCUUCCAACCCAUCUCCUCUAGCCAUGCUCCUUACCUUCAGGUCCUUCCUACCCACCCCCUCUAGCCGUGCUCCUUACCUUCAGGUCCUUCCCACCCACCCCCUCUAGCCGUACUCCUUACCAUCAGGUCCUUCCCACCCACCCCCUCUAGCCGUACUCCUUAUCCUCAGGUCCUUCCCACCCACCCCCUGUAGCCAUGCUCCUUAGCCUCAGGUCCUUCCCACUCACCCCCUCUAGCCGUACUCCUUACCCUCAGGUCCUUCCCACCUACCCCCUGUAGCCAUGCUCCUUACCCUCAGGUCCUUCCCACCUACCCCCUGUAGCCAUGCUCUUUACCCUCAG